rnacentral:rRNA from 1 species
GAUGAACGCUGGCGGCGUGCCUAACACAUGCAAGUCGAGCGAAGCGCCUUACUUGAUUUCUUCGGGAUGAAAGUAUUGUGACUGAGCGGGCGACGGGUGAGGUACGCGUAGAGUACUGCUCAUACAGGGGGAUAACAGUUAGAAAUGACUGCUAAUACCGCAUAAGACCACAGCACCGCAUGGUGCAGGGGUAAAAACUCCGGUGGUAUGAGAUGGAUCCGCGUCUGAUUAGCUAGUUGGUAAGGUAACGGCUUACCAAGGCAACGAUCAGUAGCCGACCUGAGAGGGUGACCGGCCACAUUGGGACUGAGCACGGCCCAA